GACGAACGCUGGCGGCGUGCUUAACACAUGCAAGUCGAACGGAAAGGCCCUGCUUUUGUGGGGUGCUCGAGUGGCGAACGGGUGAGUAACACGUGAGUAACCUGCCCUUGACUUUGGGAUAACUUCAGGAAACUGGGGCUAAUACCGGAUAGGAGCUCCUGCUGCAUGGUGGGGGUUGGAAAGUUUCGGCGGUUGGGGUUGGACUCGCGGCUUAUCAGCUUGUUGGUGGGGUAGUGGCUUACCAAGGCUUUGACGGGUAGCCGGCCUGAGAGGGUGACCGGCCACAUUGGGCCUGAGGUACGGCCCAGACUCCUACGGGAGGCAGCAGUGGGGAAUAUUGCCCAAUGGGCGGAAGCCUGAUGCAGCAACGCCGCGUGCGGGAUGACGGCCUUCGGGUUGUAAACCGCUUUCGCCUGUGACGAAGCGUGAGUGACGGUAAUGGGUAAAGAAGCACCGGCUAACUACGUG
rnacentral:rRNA from 1 species